rnacentral:rRNA from 1 species
AACGAACGCUGGCGGCAUGCCUAACACAUGCAAGUCGAACGAGACCUUCGGGUCUAGUGGCGCACGGGUGCGUAACGCGUGGGAGCCUGCCCUUAGGUUCGGAAUAACUCCCCGAAAGGGGUGCUAAUACCGGAUAAUGUCUUCGGACCAAAGAUUUAUCGCCUUUGGAUGGGCCCGCGUUGGAUUAGCUAGUUGGUAGGGUAAAAGCCUACCAAGGCGACGAUCCAUAGCUGGUCUGAGAGGAUGAUCAGCCACACUGGGACUGAGACACGGCCCAGACUCCUACGGGAAGCAGCAGUGGGGAAUAUUGGACAAUGGGCGAAAGCCUGAUCCAGCAAUGCCGCGUGAGUGAUGAAGGCCUUAGGGUUGUAAAGCUCUUUUACCCGGGAUGAUAAUGACAGUACCGGGAGAAUAAGCUCCGGCUAACUCCGCG